UACAGAGGGUGCGAGCGUUAAUCGGAAUUACUGGGCGUAAAGCGUGCGUAGACGGUAGCGUAAGUCAGAUGUGAAAGCCCCGGGCUCAACCUGGGAACCGCGCUUGAGACUGGCACGCUAGAGUUCGGGAGAGGAUGGUGGAAUUCCCAGUGUAGAGGUGAAAUUCGUAGAUAUUGGGAAGAACACCGAUGGCGAAGGCAGCCAUCUGGACCGACACUGACGCUGAGGCGCGAAAGCGUGGGGAGCAAACAGG
rnacentral:rRNA from 1 species